rnacentral:rRNA from 1 species
GAUGAACGCUGGCGGCGUGCUUAACACAUGCAAGUCGAGCGAUUGAAGCUGGAGCUUGCUCCGGCCGAUUUAGUGGCGGACGGGUGAGUAACGCGUGGGUAACCUGCCUCAUACAGGGGGAUAGCAGUUGGAAACGACUGGUAAAACCGCGUAAGCGCACGGUAUCGCAUGAUACAGUGUGAAAACACUCCGGUGGUAUGAGAUGGACCCGCGUCUGAUUAGCUAGUUGGUGAGGUAACGGCCCACCAAGGCGACGAUCAGUAGCCGGCCUGAGAGGGUGAACGGCCACAUUGGGACUGAGACACGGCCCAAACUCCUACGGGAGGCAGCAGUGGGGAAUAUUGCACAAUGGGGGAAACCCUGAUGCAGCGACGCCGCGUGAGUGAUGAAGUAUUUCGGUAUGUAAAGCUCUAUCAGCAGGGAAGAUAAUGACGGUACCUGACUAAGAAGCA